UUAAUUUGUUUCUGGUUAUUUUUUAGCUUUGGGAUGAUUAGUUUGCAUGUGAGUUUUUGUGGGUUAUUACUGUUGGCUAUAAUUUAAAUCUAAAGGGUUAGUGUAUUUAGCUUUGAAUUUAAUUUAUUUUGAUUUAUUCGCAGUUUUUAGUUUUAAAUUAAUGAAAUGUUUUUUGAUUUAUUUAAUUCCUUUAAUAACUAGUUAAAAUUGUGCCAGCAACUGCGGUUAUACAGUUAGUUAAAGUUAAUUUUUUUGAUAUAUAUAUUAAUGGUUUGGUGCUAUAUAAUUUAAUUUAUUCAGUUAUGUUUUUGCUUUUAAUAUAAGGUGAAAUUUUUAUUAUUUGUUGUUUGUAGCUAGUUUGGCUAAAUUAUAUGAAAUUCUUAGUUUAGACUAGGAUUAGAUACCCUAUUAUUUUGAAUGUAAAUUUUGUUAUUUAUAUGAUUAAUAGUUUUGAUCUUUAAAGUAAAAGGAUUUGACGGUAAUUAUAUCUUUUCAGAGGAACCUGUCCUGUAAUUGAUAAUCCACGUUAAAUUUUACCUUAAUUUUAUGGUUUGUAUAUCUCUGUUUUUAAUAGAAUGUUUUAUUAGAAGUUUGUGUUUAUUUUCUUAAAUUUAUGUUCUUAAAUUUAAAUCAGGUCAAGGUGCAGUAUAUAUUAAGGGUAGAGAUGGGUUACAAUAAUUUAUAAAUUUUGGAAUUAAUUACUUGUAUUGGUUUAGUAAAAUAGGAUUUGAUUGUAAUAUAUAUUAUAUUUUAUUUAUGAUAUUAGCUCUUUAUUAAGUACACAUCGCCCGUCGCUCUCAUUAUUAAGAUGAGAUAAGUCGUAACAAAGUAGGCCUAUCGGAAGGUGGGCCUGGAAUUAUU
rnacentral:rRNA from 1 species